CCCUUCUUGGUUCUCUAAAGUCGAUUCGUGCAGUUAAAGUCAUCUUAAUUCGUUCCUUCUUUUCUUCUUUCUUCAGGUUCAAGGUUCUCAUAGGGCCAUGAGGCAGUUAAGAAAUUUCCUCUAGAGAAGGAAUAAGUGAAGCUGCCAGCAUGAUCUAACCCGGGUUAGACUUCGAAUUUAAAAGUUCAGAAGAGACGAUGGGAGAAUACUAACCCUAGUUAGGUCAUGCUCGGACAGCCUCACUCAUUCCUCUACAGGGAUUCAACCAAAUGAAUACCUUAAAAGAUGGUAAGCUUAGAUAGAUUCAGAGAAAUCACGAAAGAAAAAUGGUGGAGAUGGCAUAAAAAUGCUGAGGAAACCCUGAAAUAAAAAAAAUCUAUUCUCCUAGAUUAUUGUGUAUUGAAAUCCUUUUUACAUUUGGAUAUAUUUGCUCAAAUACCAUCUUCUUUGUGUGAUGUCAGGUCCUGGUUUUAUGCUUGGAAAAUAAUGAAAAGAAUGCAGGAUGGAGAGCACUGCACUGUAUUGAUCAGUAAUAUUUCCAGUAUUUUACCGUCUCCACAAAUUUGUAGCAAUUUGUCGGGCUCCAGCUUACUCUAUUUCUUUCAUUAUUCAGCACCAAUAGUAUCAAGCAUCAAUCUAAGUAAUAACAGCAUGGCAUUAAAUGAUAGAUUUGUUUAGAAGCAAUGUUCCAUUAUUUAUUAAAUUGAAUCUAUCAAGUAUGGUCAUGUAGAUUGAAGCUAGAUAAAAUUAUUCAUUUCUUUCACGCUUGAAAUGGACAAAAACUGGUCGAUAUUUGAAUUGUGAAUCCAGCUUUGUGAUUACUUUUGUGUUGAGGAAAUUACCCCUUUAAUUUAAUAUAAUUGUUUUUUAUUCGGUUGA